GAUGAACGCUAGCGGCAGGCUUAAUACAUGCAAGUCGAGGGGCAGCAGGUCCCGCAGCAAUGCGGGAUGCUGGCGACCGGCAAACGGGUGCGGAACACGUACACAACCUUCCUUUAAGCGGGGAAUAGCCCGGGGAAACCCGGAUUAAUACUCCAUAGUAUAUUGAAAAGGCAUCUUUUAAUAUUAAAGAUUAUCACUUAAAGAUGGGUGUGCGGCUGAUUAGGUAGUUGGCGGGAACGGCCACCAAGCCUACGAUCAGUAACUGGUGUGAGAGCACGACCAGUCACACGGGCACUGAGACACGGGCCCGACUCCUACGGGAGGCAGCAGUAAGGAAUAUUGGUCAAUGGAACGAAAGUCUGAACCAGCCAUGCCGCGUGGAGGAU
rnacentral:rRNA from 1 species